rfam:Colletotrichum sublineola strain TX430BB Scaffolds0840.1, whole genome shotgun sequence.
GGUCUGGUGGUGUAGUUGGUUAUCACGUCAGUCUAACAGCUUGAGGCCGUUUCACGAUGUCCUCACUGCCACACUGAAGGUCUCCGGUUCAAGUCCGGGCUAGAUCG